rnacentral:tRNA from 11 species
GGGGCGUUAGCUCAGCCGGUUAGAGCAGCGGACUCAUAAUCCGUCGGUCGCGGGUUCAAGCCCCGCACGCCCUACCA